UUUGUCCUUUUUUGUGCAUUUUUCCUCGUAUUUUGCACAAUUUUCAAAAUGUAGGGCAGUUGUUCAAGGCUCCGAUAGGUUGCAAUUCAGGACCACAGUUAACUGUUCUGCUGUCAACUCUAGCUCAGUUUAAUUCUUGUUGCGAUAUUCCCAGCUGAUUGCUAUCUCUGCUUUGUUUUGUUCAGAACCUGUUGAGGAGCAGAAUAAAAGCUACGAGCCUGUUCAAGAAUCCGCCCAGAAGGAAUACAAGGCUGAAGUGUGCCCUGAUGCCAGCAGAGAGGAAAUCACGAAGAAUCCUUUAAUGGUGGUUACUUCAAUUGAAUGUAUGACAUUGACCAAAUUGAUCAAUAAAGACUGGAAAGCACUGGGCAGAUAUUUGGGGUUGACCAAUGAAGAGAUUGUAAUCAUUGAAUACGAUUACCAAAUACAUGGCUUGAUCGAGAUGGUCUACCAGAUGCUCUGCAAAUGGAAACAGCAGCAAGGACACAUGGCCACCCGAGCUCAGUUGGUGCAGGGUCUGAAGAAGAUCCAGAAGCAGCAUCUGUGGAAAGAGUUAUGGAGUUGAUGCUGGAGCAUUAAUGGAUUUCCUGAAUGCUCUGAUUUAUUUCCAAACUGUGGAAUCCCUUUUCCUGCCUUUGGAUUAAAGACUUCUCUUACUUUUCAGAAUUAAUUGUAAUCUUGACUUGUGUCGGAGGUGCAACACGUUCAUUCAUGGGAAUGCAAGACCAGUCUCCUACCUUAGUUUUGCCCAGGCUCCUACACGAUCUGUUGCCUGUAAACUGUUGCAAAUUGAUGUGCAAGACAAACGUCGUGUGAGGCUUGCUUGCCCGUACACACUUCUCUGGUUCAUGAGACUGUGGGUUUCAGGCUAACACUCCACGCAGCGUCCUGCUGCACGUACUAACUGUCUGUUGGAGGCGACAUUGAAUUGAUUCCAUAUCUGGCCUUUUAGGACAAGGCAAUGAAUUCCUUGACAACACUUGAUGAAGAGGCAGGGCAGCACGGUGGCACAACAGUAGAGUGGUAGAGCCUUACAGUGGCAGAGAUCUGGGUUUGUUCCCGUCUACAGGUGCUGCCUGUACGGAGUUUGUGCAUUCUCACCGUGACUGCAUGGCUUUUCCCCAGGUGCUCCUGUUUCCUCCCACAUUCCAAGGACGUACAGGUUUGUAGGUUAAUUGGCCUUUGUAAAAAUUGUAACUUGUCCCUAGUGUUCAGGAUAGUGUUAUUGGGAUAGCUGGUCCGCGUGGGCUGAGGGGCUUAUUUCCCCCUGUAUGUCUAAACUAAAGAGUGGAAUGUCACCCGAAACAUCACCUAUUCCUUUUCUCCAGAGAUGCUGCCUGACCUGCUGAAUUACCCUAGCAUUUUGUGUCCUAUAAUAGUUUUCCAUCACCUGGUGUUGCCAAGAGCUGUAGUUCACCCAUUGAGCAUGAAAAUUGUGUAGGAAGGAACUGCAGAUGCUGGUUUAAAACAAAGGUAGACACAAAAUGCUAGCGUGUGGCAGGCGACAUCUCUGGAGAGAAGGAAUGAGUGACGUUUUGCAUCAUGACCUUUCUUCAGACUAAAAAUUGGGUCCAGCUUUCUCUGUUUAUGAAUGAGAUUUUCGAAACACACUGAAGACUCGGCAAAGAAAGGUUUCAAAGGUCUUUUAUUGUCACAUGUGUCAAUUAAGGUACAGUGAUAUGCGAAUUGCCAUACAGCAAUAAGGUGGGAAAAAGCAACAAGACACGCAACUACAUAAAAGUUAACAAACAUCCGCCACAGCGGAUUCCUCACUGUGAUGGAAGGUUUAAAAAAAAGUCCAAUCUUCCUAUUUAUUCUCCCGCGGUUGGGAUAGAUGAACCAUCCAUCAGGGCGUGUGGAAUUCUGUGGAAUUCUCUGCCUCAGGUGGAGGCAGGUUCUCUGGAUGCUUUCAAGAGAGAGCUAGAUAGGGCUCUUAAAAAUAGCGGUGUCAGGGGAUGUGGGGAGAAGGCAGGAAUGGGGUACUGAUUGUGGAUGAUCAGCCAUGAUCACAUUGAAUGGUGGUGCUGGCUCGAAGAGCCAAAUGACCUGCUCCUGCACCUAUUGUCUAUUGUCUAAUGUCUAUUGGCGGUCGAAGCUCACGCUCAACUCGAAUAUUUUCUCAUCCAUUGAUCGUUACAAUCAUUGACUUGUAUUCCAACAAAAUAUUGAAUUAUGUAUUAGCUCAGCGUAUAACUAUCAAAUGUUUUCAGUAUAAUAAAGGAAUGAAAAUAU